GCGUGGGGAGCCGGUCUUGCAGCAGCGGGAUUAGCUUCUAAAGUCUCUUUCAUCUCUCCUAAGGAAGCCUAGAAGAGGAGGAAGAGGAAAGAAAAGGAAUCAGGAAUGGCUCUUAGUCCCUCUGAUGUCACUUAAAUUCCAUCUCACAGUGACCGGUGGUGUGGAAUUUGUGAAGAGGCUCCACUGGGAAGGACUUAUACCCAGACAUGGAUGGAGACAGGGUGUGGGCCCCAUGGUGUCACUGCUCUCGGGCAGCUGGGAUUGAAGGAUUGUUUAAGAGCCAGGUCUGGAUGCACUGCCAGCUCUGUAGACCGGAUUAUGGAAGCUGCACAUGGAAGUCUCAAUGUGCACAACUGCCUGAUAAAAUUUGGAAGAAGAGAUUAGGAAGAGGAAAUCUUUUCUGCCUGAUUUUAUACUCCAUUUGUAGUAAACAUUUAACAGCAAGAGAUUCUUUAAACCAUUCUAAGUACAUCCAUCCUAUGGAGAUUGUGGUAUUCCUGCAGACUCUUGUGAAACAGAUGUUUCAGGUGAAAAUGGUAAGACUUGGGUAAUACUUCUUCUAGGAUGGGGCAUUUCCUAUUUUCUUAGAUCUUGCAAGGUUCUCCUGUUAUCCCCAGCUGCAGGGGUACCUCUCCCACCAAGAACAUGUGAAAUUUCCCCCUCAUUUGAAAAAAAAAAACCAAUUUGCUACUAUGUUUAUAUAUAUAUAUUUUGAAAAUCUGGGAAAAAUGACA
rnacentral:sRNA from 1 species